CCGGAGCAAAGUGAAUUCGGAAGACAGCGUGUGCAUGACCAUCGGCAGAUCUCGCUCUCGUACCUGAGGACAAAAGAAAUGAAUGAGCGCUGCAAGAAAAAGGCUAGGAGAAUGAUUUAAGAUCCAAACCAGCCGGGUUGAUUGAUUGAAGAAAUAGAACAGAUUUAAGAAAAAACUUAGGAAGUUAUUGGUGAAUGAGGCCCAUUUGGCAGGGUCUGCCAUUCCUGUGUGGGACUACCUUCACAUGCACAAGGGAUUCACAGAAAAUAAUGCAUUUAUCGCCAGCGUUAAUGUUUAAAUGAUACCAAAUGGUAGUAGUAUUGGAACAUUAUUAUCCACACUCACCAAAAUGAAGUCUGUCUGAUAUGUUGACAGCAUGAAAACAGAGAUGUUGUGGUCGGCCAGCGGGGCAAUGACUGAUUUAGCGAUUUUGGUGACUCCGAUGGGUUGCGAGUUGGAGGCGUUGCCGCCCCCUGACACCACGUUAAGGGCCAACCAUGUGGCAUCAGCAACACUGAUGUGCUCUGACUGGGGCAGCUCUGCGAAUGGACAGACAGUCAUGUCAAAAAAGAACACGACUGCAGCAGUCACUCACAAGUUCACAGCAUUAACCAAUAAAACCUGAGAAGAAGUGACUUGACCUGAUUUAGGACUAUCUAAAGAGGCUAUUAGGCUUCACACAAGGUCAAGCAUUAUCAAUAGACUACAAAAGUGGUCGUAACACACAGCUGUAUUCAUAAUGUACAACAGUGAUUUAACCUGCAGCCAGUUCAUACAUCUUUUUAUACUUUUUAUAGCUCUUUGCUAAAAAUGCACAAGUAAUGAUACAUUUUUUUUAACACAAGUUUUUAAAUAGAAAAGAAACUGGGAACUUAGGGUUAGCAAUGAGCAUGAUUAAUAGUUGUUCCUUAUUUUUUUAUGUGUUCUUAUUCCUGUUUUUAAUCUUUUGUACACAUCCUUUUUUUAAUAUAUUGAGUGCUGUUGCCAAUGCCUUUUUAUUAUCUGGAAUUAUACAAAAUUAUUCUCACCCUCCACUCUUCGGUGACAGAGCAGACUGUGUAUUAGACAGGCUUUUCUGCCUGUCCUACUAAAUACCAGUCUAGACGGUUGUACCUACCCCUGUUUGGGUUUACAUUUUGCAUGCAUAUGUUGCAUCCGGUCCUAAUGAGUUAAGAAAGACUCAAGAAUAUUUGAGAUGCAAGUUAAACCUGCCCUUCAUCCACAUUGUAGAAAUAAUGAGGCAGAAGUAGCCACACUGUUCCUCUUACAAAGUAUUUAUAAGCAAUAAAACACUCACUAGACCUGCAACGAUUACUUGAUUAAUCAAUAAGUUGAUCAAAAGAUUUAUAUAUGCUUGUUUUUAUCAUAUAUAACAGAAAAUUUAACUUUUGUUGGAUUCAGAAUGUUGGUGGAAUAAAACAAGCAAUUUAAGGACAUCACUUUGGACUGUGGGAGGUUGUUAUGGGCGGAUUUUCACUAGUUACAUACACACUAGUAACAUUUCAUAGACACAAUUAGUCGAUUAAUCAAGAAAAUAAUCUGCAGAUUAAUCAAAAAUGAAAAUAUUCAUUAGUCGCAGCCCUAAUAAUGAUUGAAAAGCUAAUGAAUAAUGUUAAUAUUUAUUAGCAUUGUAGUGAGUGUACCAAAAGCAUUUAAUAUCACAACAUAUUAUCUGAAAUAUUAGCCAAACUCAAUCUAGUUCAGUUAUUCAACAACUGUUAUUAAACAGGAUAUUCAAUAUUAACCCAAGACUAACAUUUACUGCAUGCUCACCUUAAUAAGUUACUGUCAAUGGACUGGAUUGUGUACUAAUUCUCAGACAUUUUAUAAUGUUCACUGCAGUGUUUAGGCCUAAUCAUCUGUUUUUUUUUAGAUGCAUAUGGACAUAUUCUGUUUAGGCCUAUAUGAAAAAUGGUAGAAAAAUAUAUUUUUAGUGUCUUCUGGAGGUUUUAACAAAAUGUCAAACAUGUAUCUAACAUUGCUUGCUUGAGUGUUUAUUUCAACAGAAAACAGGAACCUUCACAGUCAGAGCCAGUCACCAGAAGAAAAUACCUGCAGCAGUUAUGCAACAAAUAGCCUGUAGUCUCCAGGGUAACCAAGGAGGGUCACCCUGGAAAAGGGUGUGUAAUGACAUGAAUUCACUUAAUCAGCCAACCACAAAACACAGCAAAACUGGCAACUGGGCCUCACAUCCAUAAUAGCAAAGUGUGCACAAACAUUGGCAGCUGAAGCUACGUGGUACUGGAGAGAAUCAGAGGUUACACAAUGUGAUCUUUUCCUGCCGCCCCGAUCUAUGGUUGCCACAGUGACUUUAAAGAUCCACAAAGAGAGGCCCACCUUUAAAGCCUUCCUCAUCGACAAUUAUGGUGUAGUCCUCCGGAGUCUCUGUCAAACUGAAAAACUUGCAUCUGAAUGGGAGAGGGAGAAAAAGAGAGGACAAAUCAAACAGUGGAUACAGCACAUGAAAAGCUCCAUGCUGCUGGAUUAAGCUUCACUACAUCAAGUCUGCUGCUCCCUGAAGCAUUCUUAACAUACACAUUAAAUAGUGUAUUUGGAGAAUUAAGGAGACAGUUUCAUAUGAGAAGAUCCAUCCACUGACAUGUGCAGGGACCAACACAAGACUGCAGCUAUGCCUGUAAAUGUCUUCUUUAUCAUUUUAUAUUUAAUAUGAGGCUUAUAACUGAGCUAUCAAUAAAGCACAGUGCUGCAUAUAAACCUCCCCAAUGCCAAUGUGCUGUGAGAGGAAUCUCAAUGAUCAUCUAGAGAUGUUUUUAAAUACACAUACAUGGGGCUAAAAAUAUGACCUAAACUCUAAAAUAAUAUUUUUUUUGCAAUCUGGUUGCGUGGCUCAAGGGAUGGCAAUUUGUUGUGUCCAUCAGUUCGCCACUUAGGUCCAGACUGAAAUAUUUCAAAAAAAUGGUUUGAUGGAUUGCAAUAAAAUUUGCUACAGAUAUUCGUGUUUCCCACAGGAGGAAUUGUAAUGAUUUUGGGGAUCCACUGACAUAUAAUCUAGCGCCAUGGUUUUCCUUACAAUGAGCCUCACAUAGCCACUAGUGUGGCUAAGACUUAUUGUCUUGUUUAUACAUGAGUGCAUGUAAUUCCUUUCUCACAUGGUCUCACUUCUGAUAUGUUUGUCCUGUUUAAUUACAGUCUGACGAGUUGAAGAUAUACUGGGCUGCUGGGCUGAUAGGUUGGUUGAAUUUCUGCUUGCUUGCUUAAUGUAGCUUCUGCCAGUUUAUAGACAUUUAUAGAAUACAUUCAGGUUGGUAAGAGAUUUAUAAUGUUAAGUUGACAAAUUAUUAUCCAGCCCUACACACUAAUACUUGUGUUGUGGAGGUACUUUGCAAUAGGUAAUGCGAAAUGGCAAGAAAAGUGGUCCACCACAACAAAGGUUAACUCAUUCCACUUUUUGAAAAGUCUCUAUUUAAAAAUCAGCACAGUUUUUAUAUAAUGAACAAGGCUGAGUAUCAAACUUUAUGUUUUAGAUCUGACAGAAAUGUGUCUGUGGACCAGAUUAUCAAAUAUUCUUCAGCACCGAAAGAUGGCAUCUAAUCUCUGAUCAGAUUUAUUAUCUUGUUUACACGUGGUCAGUUGUUCCUGAUUUUGACUGUAUUUAUAUGCCAACACAUGCCAAAACUUCUGUGUUCCCUUUUGCAAAAUCUUAUUAAAUGUCGCUUCUAUCAAAACCA